GACGAACGCUGGCGGCGUGCCUAAUACAUGCAAGUAGAACGCACAGUUUAUACCGUAGCUUGCUACACCAUAGACUGUGAGUUGCGAACGGGUGAGUAACGCGUAGGUAACCUGCCUGGUAGCGGGGGAUAACUAUUGGAAACGAUAGCUAAUACCGCAUAAUAUUGAUUAUUGCAUGAUAAUUGAUUGAAAGAUGCUAUUGCAUCACUACCAGAUGGACCUGCGUUGUAUUAGCUAGUAGGUGAGGUAACGGCUCACCUAGGCGACGAUACAUAGCCGACCUGAGAGGGUGAUCGGCCACACUGGGACUGAGACACGGCACAGACUCCUACGGGAGGCAGCAGUAGGGAAUCUUCGGCAAUGGACGAAAGUCUGACCGAGCAACGCCGCGUGAGUGAAGAAGGUUUUCGGAUCGUAAAGCUCUGUUGUAAGAGAAGAACGGGUGUGAGAGUGGAAAGUUCACACUGUGACGGUAUCUUACCAGAAAGGGACGGCUAACUACGUG
rnacentral:rRNA from 1 species